AACGCACGAGACCUGCGGACCUGCGGAAGGAUCAUUUCUGAAAAGGGGGAGGCGGUGGACGUUUUCGUCCACGCCUUCCCUAUCCACAACACUACUACUGUGCACUGUUUGGCCUGACCUUUUUCCAAAGCAAAGACAAAAAAAAAGGAGGUUUAACGGUCUUCUUUUUUGUUUUUCUCUCUUUGGGUUAGGUUUGGGUUAGAGACUUUUUCCAUCGAGAAAGCGUAUUGCAAUUAUUCU
rnacentral:misc_RNA from 1 species